rnacentral:rRNA from 1 species
GUCCUGGCCCUAAACGGUGUUCACUUGGUGUGCGGGGAGUCGACCCCCUGCGUGCCGCAGCUAACGCGAUAAGUGAACCGCCUGGGAAGUACGGUCGCAAGAUUAAAACUCAAAGAAAUUGACGGGGGCCCGCACAAGCGGUGGAGCAUGUGGCUUAAUUCGAUGCAACGCGAAGAACCUUACCUGGCCUUGACAUCUAUCGUGAAAGCCGAUGAAAGUCGGUGACGGUCCGAAAGGAUGCUGGGGAUAGACAGGUCCUGCAUGGUUGUCGU